UACACGACCGUACCGCAAACCGACACUGGUGCGCGAGAUGAGUAUUCUAAGGCGCUUGAGAGAACUCAGGAGAAGGAACUCGGCAAAUUGACACCGUAACUUCGGAAGAAGGUGUGCCUUUAGUAGGUGAACCUGUACAAGGGGAGCCCAAUGAGGUUGCAAAAAAUCGGUGGCUGCGACUGUUUAAUAAAAACACAGCACUCUGCAAACACGUAAGUGGACGUAUAGGGUGUGACGCCUGCCCGGUGCUGGAAGAUUAAAUGAUGGGGUGCAAGCUCUUGAUUGAAGUCCCAGUAAACGGCGGCCGUAACAAUAACGGUCCUAAGGUAGCGAAAUUCCUUGUCGGGUAAGUUCCGACCUGCACGAAUGGCGUAACGAUGGCCACACUGUCUCCUCCUGAGACUCAGCGAAGUUGAAAUGUUUGUGAUGAUGCAAUCUCCCCGCGGAAAGACGGAAAGACCCCAUGAACCUUUACUGUAGCUUUGUAUUGGACUUUGAACAGAUCUGUGUAGGAUAGGUGGGAGGCUUUGAAGUGUGGUCGCUAGAUCGCAUGGAGCCAACGUUGAAAUACCACCCUGGUGUGUUUGAGGUUCUAACCUAGGCCCGUAAUCCGGGUCGGGGACAGUGCAUGGUAGGCAGUUUGACUGGGGCGGUCUCCUCCCAAAGCGUAACGGAGGAGUUCGAAGGUACGCUAGGUACGGUCGGACAUCGUGCUAAUAGUGCAAUGGCAUAAGCGUGCUUAACUGCGAGACUGACAAGUCGAGCAGAUGCGAAAGCAGGACAUAGUGAUCCGGUGGUUCUGUAUGGAAGGGCCAUCGCUCAACGGAUAAAAGGUACUCUGGGGAUAACAGGCUGAUACCGCCCAAGAGUUCAUAUCGACGGCGGUGUUUGGCACCUCGAUGUCGGCUCAUCUCAUCCUGGGGCUGUAGCCGGUCCCAAGGGUAUGGCUGUUCGCCAUUUAAAGAGGUACGUGAGCUGGGUUUAAAACGUCGUGAGACAGUUUGGUCCCUAUCUUCCGUGGGCGCUGCAGAUUUGAGGAAGCCUGCUCCUAGUACGAGAGGACCGGAGUGGACACACCUCUGGUGUAUCGGUUGUCACGCCAGUGGCAUUGCCGAGUAGCUAUGUGUGGAAGAGAUAACCGCUGAAAGCAUCUAAGCGGGAAACUCGUUUCAAGAUGAGAUCUGCCGGGGCCUUGAGCCCCCUAAAGAGUCGUUCAAGACCAGGACGUUGAUAGGUCGGGUGUGGAAGCGCAGUAAUGCGUUAAGCUAA
rnacentral:rRNA from 1 species